GACGAAUGAUGAGGCAGCAACAGGGAGUGCCACAUCCUAAAGCGCCUAAACUACUCAAGGUAGCCAAUCAAAAUGUUCUCAAAUAUAGUGAAGAGACCGGUACAGAUGAAUCAAUGAAAGAGCUACCAGAAACUUCUUCUGGGAGAUCGAAGUUUGAGCGAGAUAGAAAGGAUGAAGAAGAUCCAGAUCAGCUCCUUACUAUUCAGUUCGGUACGUUACCUCCUGUUGUGGUUAAUAAUUAUUUACUGGCCAAUGA
rnacentral:lncRNA from 1 species